rnacentral:lncRNA from 1 species
AUGAAGCCCAGUGACCAGGAAGAACGCUCCCACCUCCACCUGCUGCUCCAUCCACAGCCACGGCCCACGUCCAGCUCCCAUGAUGGUAGCCUCAGCCCAGGACUAGGUCUGCAUCACUUCCCCAGUGCUGUGCUGCACCCAGGAGCGGUGGCUCAGCAGGUCCUUGUCCAGAGCUCACACGGUGGGCACGGAGAUGGGCGGCUCUGCUCUCGUUCGGGGAUGGGGGAAGACUCUGCUCCUUCAGGUACCUGCGAGUAUUGGCAGAGCCCAGUUCUGUGACUGUGGGCUGAGGUCCCGUCUCCCGACGUGUGGCCUCCUCCAUGUGCCCAGGCCCGCAGCGGCACUGUGGCCAAAGCUCGGAACCUCUCUGAUGGAGCCUUCUGCAGCAGCACUGCAGGACCCCAGCAUUCCCUGAGCCACAGAACAAGGAGCCUGUCUGUUGCAGGUCGGCUAUCAGACCGUCCGGCUAAGGUCCAUGGAUCCAGCAUCUCGUCUUCACGUGCAAAUCCUUCUGGCAGGGCUGGCACCACACAGGACCUGCCUGUGCCCCCAGGCUGAGCUGGCUUGAGGCUGGCAGACGCUGCCCCACCCAGCUCUGCUCAGGAACAGCCCAAGGCGUCCCUAUCCUCAUGCACCUGUGCCACCAUCUAUGCCAAGGUUCAGAGGUGGUCCUAGAUUGUCACAGGGCUGCUGUGAUCCCCAAAGGCCCAGGCAUCAAGGGCCCGGCUUUCAGGUGGUAGGUGGCGCCUCUAAGGAUCGGGGCCUGGGGAGGCCCUGGUGUCAGUGAGCCGUGUCCUCAAGGGGCCUGCGGGGCUCUGACCAUUCUCAUGAGGAUUAUAGCCACAGAGCUUGGCCCACCGGCUCCCCUCUGCUCUCUAAACUCUAACCCUCACUCCUGCUGCGAAAAGACCAGAGGCAGAGCAGAGGCGGCUACAUGAACUUGAACUUUAACCCUCCCAAACUAUGACCUAAAUAAAUCUGUUAUUUUCACAAGCAG